AGACCAUGAUAAGGACAACGCCGAAGUCAUUCUUUGAAUCUUUCCCAUGCAUCGUACAAUGAUUUAGAAUCUUACUACAUGAAUGAUGUGAUAUCAUUCCUCAUUUU
rnacentral:snoRNA from 1 species